ensembl:misc_RNA Y_RNA Y RNA
UGCUUGGCUGGUAGUGAGUUACCAGGACUGAUUCACAUUAGUGUCACUAAAGUUGGUAUACAACCCUCCACUGCUAAAUUUGACUGGCUUUAA